AUAAGGUCUUGCUCUGGAGUGCAGUGGUGCGAACAUGGUAGCCUCAACCUCCUGGAUUCAGGUGAUCGUCCCACCUCAGCCUCCCAAGUAGCUGGGACUACAGGCUAACAAAUCUUCAAUGAUAAAGAUGCAUGCAUAUGAAUGGAGGCAGAGUUCAAUCGAAGUACUUGGGGAAGAUGAGGAAAGGACUUGGGGAUUAAGGAAGGUUUCCUGGAACUGAUAUUCAAGCUGCAAUUCCAAGGACAGCAGAAGUUGAGACGACACAGUGAGGGGGAUUAUGCAAGAAAUGGAUAAGGACAUUUCCAGGGGUCCUGAGGUGCGACACAUUGCAGUAAAGGUGCUCAAGUGAACAUGGCAGUCAGCACUUGGUCCUUUCUUGUUCCUGGCAAGAUGUCAUCUGCUGUCUGAUGGGAAGCCCACCACUGCUUGGCCCCUCUACAAAAAAUGCUUGCCACUUUCACCCCAUACCUUUUAUAGUACAAAGAGUCAGAGUUUAUAGUACAAUUCACAAAGAGUCAGAGUUUUAACUGUUUCUUUACAUUCUUAUAUUUGGAAGGAAUCUCUCCUUAAAUGCUGCUUUCAUAGAAAAGAAAAAGAAAAGGAAACAGGCACCAGGUUACAAGAG